rnacentral:rRNA from 1 species
UACGUAGGGUCCAAGCAUUAUCCGGAUUGACUGGGUGUAAAGAGUUGCGUAGGUGGUGUCUUAAGUAGAUAGUGAAAUCUGGUGGCUCAACCAUUCAGACUAUUAUCUAAACUGAGACGCUCGAGAACGUUAGGGGUAGCUGGAAUUUCUAGUGUAGGAGUGAAAUCCGUAGAUAUUAGAAAGAACACCGAUAGCGUAGGCAGGCUACUGGGACGUUUCUGACACUAAGGCACGAAAGCGUGGGGAGCAA